rnacentral:rRNA from 1 species
GUAGGGUGCGAGCGUUAUCCGGAAUUAUUGGGCGUAAAGAGCUCGUAGGCGGUUUGUCGCGUCUGUCGUGAAAGUCCGGGGCUUAACCCCGGAUCUGCGGUGGGUACGGGCAGACUAGAGUGCAGCAGGGGAGACUGGAAUUCCUGGUGUAGCGGUGGAAUGCGCAGAUAUCAGGAGGAACACCGAUGGCGAAGGCAGGUCUCUGGGCUGUAACUGACGCUGAGGCUCGAAAGCAUGGGUAGCGAACAGGAUUAGAUACCCUGGUAGUCCAUGCCGUAAACGAUGAAUGCUAGGUGUUGGAGGGUUUCCGCCCUUCAGUGCCGCAGCUAACGCAUUAAGCAUUCCGCCUGGGGAGUACGACCGCAAGGUUG